AACGAACGCUGGCGGCAGGCUUAACACAUGCAAGUCGAGCGCCCCGCAAGGGGGACGGCAGUCGGGUGGGUAGCGCGUGGGGACGUACCCUUAUCUUCGUGAUAGCUCCGUUAUACUGGAAUUAAUACCUAAUGUGCCCUUUGGGGGUAAGAUUUAUCGGGUAAGGAUCGGCGCGCGUUGGAUUAGCUAGUUGGUGGGGUGAAGGCGUACCAAGGCGACGAUCCAUAUCUGGGCUGAGAGGCGGAUCAGCGACAUUGGGACUGAGAAACGGGCCAAAAUCCUAGGGAAGGCAGCAGUGGGGAAUAUUGGACAAUGGGCGCAAGCAUGAUCCAGCCAUGCCGCGUGAGUGCUGAAGGCCUUAGGGUAGUAAAGCUCUUUAACCGGAGAAGAUAAUGACGGUAUCCGGAGAAGAAGCCCCGGCUAACUUCGUG
rnacentral:rRNA from 1 species